rnacentral:rRNA from 1 species
UGGUGGAGUGAUUUGUCUGGUUAAUUCCGAUAACGAACGAGACCUUAACCUGCUAAAUAGUUCUGCGAACCUGCGUUCGUAGCUAACUUCUUAGAGGGACUGACUACGUUUAGUGGUCGGAAGUUUGAGGCAAUAACG